GAACCUUCGGUAGGUGAACCUGCGGAAGGAUCAUUAAUGAAUAAAAUAAAACCUUUGAGGAUGUUGCUGGCCUUACCAGGCAGGUGCACUCCUCAUACGUUCUAUUUUGACCCACCUUCUCACAAACCAUGUGCACCCUUUGUAGGUUGGGCUUUGCUUCUGACCUAUGUAUGUUUUGUCAUUUUGCGCCUCUUAGAAAAGAUUUUUCGAAUGUUGUCUCGUAUAUUUGAUAAUGCACAACUUUCAACAAUGGAUCUCUUGGCUCUCGCAUCGAGAAGAACGCAGCGAAAUGCAAUACGUAAUGUGAAUUGCAGAAUUCCGUGAAUCAUCAAAUCUUUGAACGCACCUUGCGCCCCGAGGCUGUUCCGAGGGGCAUGCCUGUUUGAGUGUCAUUGGUCAAUCUUCUCAACUUUGGUGAAAAGGCCAAAGCUUGAACAGUGGAGGUGUGCUGGCUGGACGUGUCAGCUCCUCUGAAAACAAUUACCGAAAAGAACCACACCCUGUUCCUUGCAUCUCUGGCUUCUGGCAUUGAUGGUUGUCUAUGCCUGCUGCAACCCGGGGUGCAUUUAAAUUAGGAUCGGUGAGGCUCUCACUCACAAUUGUCUUUGGACUUUUGAACGCAUCACCUCAAAUCAGGUAGGACUACCCGCUGAACUUAAACAUAUCAAUAAUCGGAGGAACAAU
rnacentral:rRNA from 1 species